GAUGAACGCUGGCGGCGUGCCUAAUACAUGCAAGUCGAGCGAACAGACGAGGAGCUUGCUCCUCUGACGUAAGCGGCGGACGGGUGAGUAACACGUGGAUAACCUACCUAUAAGACUGGGAUAACUUCGGGAAACCGGAGCUAAUACCGGAUAAUAUAUUGAACCGCAUGGUUCAAUAGUGAAAGACGGUUUUGCUGUCACUUAUAGAUGGAUCCGCGCCGCAUUAGCUAGUUGGUAAGGUAACGGCUUACCAAGGCGACGAUGCGUAGCCGACCUGAGAGGGUGAUCGGCCACACUGGAACUGAGACACGGUCCAGACUCCUACGGGAGGCAGCAGUAGGGAAUCUUCCGCAAUGGGCGAAAGCCUGACGGAGCAACGCCGCGUGAGUGAUGAAGGUCUUCGGAUCGUAAAACUCUGUUAUUAGGGAAGAACAAAUGUGUAAGUAACUAUGCACGUCUUGACGGUACCUAAUCAGAAAGCCACGGCUAACUACGUG
rnacentral:rRNA from 1 species